UCUUUCCCCUUGGCUCAUGGUCCCUUCCUUCAUCUUCAAAGCCAGCGGUGUAGCAUCGUAGCAUCUUCAUGUCUCCUUGGGAUAAGAUGGGGCUCUCCUGGAUGAUUCAAGAGUCAGAAGUAAACAGACUUAGCAAGGAGCAUAUAUUUCAUGAGGACAUCUUCACAGGGCAUUCGCAGGAUGUCAGAAUCAUGGCCUUGGUGGAAUGAAGGAAACGCAGGACAGGAAACAAGGAGGCCUGAAGUGCAGCCCUGGCCGGCCCCUCCACGCUCUGGGCAGCACCGCAAGCAGACCCCUCGCCACACGGAGCCCUCACUCUUCCUCUGUAGAAGGAGGGGAGGAGACCAGAUUCUCGGGGUUACUGUGAGGACACAUGCGAUGGAAGGAAAUGUAGUUUGUCAAGAUGGCAUCUGUCAUACAUAUGCAAAAUGUCAUUAGGGGCCGGGUGUAGUGGCUCAUGCCUGUAAUCCCAGCACUUUGGGAGGCUAAGGCGGGUGGAUCACCUGAGGUCAGGAGUUUGAGACCAGCCUGGCCAACAUGGUGAAACCCCAUCUCUACUAAAAAUACAAAAAUUAGCCGGGCUUGGUGGCAUGCACCUAUAAUCCCAGCUACUCGGGAGGCUGAGGCAGGAGAAUCACUUGAACCUGGGGGUGGAGGUUGCAGUGAGCCGAGAUCAUGCCACUUCACUCCAGCUUGGGCAAAAGAGCAAGACUCUGUCUUAAAAAAAGAAAUUGUCAUUAGGGAAGAUCCCAGAGAGCACUUCCCUGAGAGGGGCAUGAGUUGUUCUUGGAUGAUUCUCUAUGAAGAAG
rnacentral:lncRNA from 1 species